rnacentral:lncRNA from 1 species
CUGCAAUCAACCUUCUUCCCUUCAGAGUCUUCUUUUCAGUGAGACCACUGGGAAAGACAUCUGUGUGGGAAGCUUAUUUACAGAGCCCAUGCACCUCCCAUUCUCUGUGGUGGGACUAUUUUUGCUGCAUCUGUCACAGCUGCCUAAGGAAACACAGAAGCACAGCCCAGCUGUGCCCAGAGCUGAAUGCCCUUCUCAUGCUUGCAUGCUUGGACACUCUAUGAAACAUGGGCUCGUCCUUGGCAUAUGAUAGAGCAGGCUUUAAGCUCCUGUACUCUAGCUGAACUAUGGGAUGCAGCCAGUCUGCACUACAGAAUCAUCACAGAAUCAUAGAAUUGUUUGAAUUGGAAGGGACCCUUAAAGAUCGUCUAGUCCAACUUGAAAUCAACAGGGAAAUCAAAGAGGCCCAAGAUGCUGCCCCAGGCUGGGCCUAGGCCAGGGACACUUUGCAGAUGCUAUGUGAAGAUGCUUUCAGGGUGGGUGGCUCCCAGCACUAUGUUUUGGAGCAAAAAAGCACAUCAGCCUGCUGUGGUUUUGCUUUUGGGAUCAGAUGAAACCAUGCAAACAGUGACUUUAAAAGCAUAUCCUUACCACUACCAACUUUAUUUAGUAUGCAACAUAGGCCUUCUGCUGAUAACGAGUAACAUCUGCAUGAGAGCAAAAGGGCAGAGAAGAAAUACUUCUGCAGACUCUGCUCAUCCUGGGUGCUUGUAGACAAUUUCAAGUGGAAUGGGUAUAUAACAAAAAUCAGAGCUGACAAGAUGUAUUUUUAGCCACAUGCUUCUCAUCUUGACAUCGAUAUGCAGCAUUUGUUUGGGUUUUGGACUUGUAACAGUAAUGAAAUCCUUGCAUCUCCAAGUAUCUUCUGAGUUCUAGUAAAUUCACUAUGCCUACCUGAUGAGCAUGCAGAGUGAAAAGUCCCUUCUGUAGGAUGAGCCAUAAAUACAAUCUGGGACAAUAUGCUUCCUAUGUAAGACAAAAAAUAAAAUAGUUUUAUGCUCAAAGGUAGUAUUACA